CUGUAGCCACCGGCCUAUGCCAGAGCCACAGCAACGCAGGAUCCGAGCCACAUCUGCGACCUACACCACAGCUCACGGCAACACCGGAUCAUUAACCCACUGAGCAAGGGCAGGGACCGAACUCGCAACCUCAUGGUUCCUAGUUGGAUUCGUUAACCACUGCGCCAUGACGGGAACUCCAUAGAUCGGGGAUUUUGAUGUUCUCAGAUGUCUUCCAAGGGCCUCCAACAGUACCUGGCUCACAGCAGGUGCACGUCUCCCCCAGUAGUGACUGUUCCUGGUGUAUCCACAGCCAGUAUUCUGCUGACAUUAAAUGAAAAAAUAAGUCCGAAGAACUAACACUUGGAUGGGCACACCUGCUGUACGCAUUUAAUUGCUGAACAGCCUUCUGAGGAGCCCCUCAUGGAUUCCAUAUCACAUUUACUCAUUCUGUCUCCUUCGGCUCCUCUUGGCUGUGACAGUUUUGCAGACUCUCCUUGUUUGUGAUGGCCUUAACAGUUUGAGGAAUUGUGCAGAAUGUUCCUUAAUCAGGAGCCAUUUGAUGUUUUUCUCAUGAUUGCGGUUGGCUGUGGGUUUGGGGGAAGAAGAUCACGGCCGUCAAGUCCCAUUUUCAUGAUAUGUCAAGUAUGUGCUGUCACCCUGACCCAUGGUGUUGGCCUUGAUCACCCGGUGGAAGCCGUGUUUGUAACUGUAAAGUUACUCUUCCUUCCCAA